rnacentral:tRNA from 1 species
ACCAACGUGGCCGAGUGGUUAAGGCGGCAGACUUAAGUACCUUUGCUAGGAUUCUGCUACAUUGUAUGUGCGCGGGUUCAAACCCCGUCGUUGGUA